rnacentral:rRNA from 1 species
CCUACGGGAGGCAGCAGUGAGGAAUAUUGGUCAAUGGACGAGAGUCUGAACCAGCCAAGUAGCGUGAAGGAUGACUGCCCUAUGGGUUGUAAACUUCUUUUAUAGAGGAAUAAAACGAGGCACGUGUGCCUUUUUGCAUGUACUUUAUGAAUAAGGAUCGGCUAACUCCGUGCCAGCAGCCGCGGUAAUACGGAGGAUCCGAGCGUUAUGCGGAUUUAUUGGGUUUAAAGGGAGCGUAGAUGGGUUGUUAAGUCAGUUGUGAAAGUUUGCGGCUCAACCGUAAAAUUGCAAUUGAUACUGGCAGGCUGGAGUACAGUUGAGGUAGGCGGAAUUCGUGGUGUAGCGGUGAAAUGCUUAGAUAUCACGAAGAACCCCGAUUGCGAAGGCAGCUUACUAAACUGUGACUGACAUUGAUGCUCGAAAGUGUGGGUAUCAAACAGGAUUAGAUACCCUUGUAGUC